GGGUUGUGAGGUUAAGCGACUAAGCGUACACGGUGGAUGCCCUGGCAGUCAGAGGCGAUGAAGGACGUGCUAAUCUGCGAUAAGCGUCGGUAAGGUGAUAUGAACCGUUAUAACCGGCGAUUUCCGAAUGGGGAAACCCAGUGUGUUUCGACACACUAUCAUUAACUGAAUCCAUAGGUUAAUGAGGCGAACCGGGGGAACUGAAACAUCUAAGUACCCCGAGGAAAAGAAAUCAACCGAGAUUCCCCCAGUAGCGGCGAGCGAACGGGGAGCAGCCCAGAGUCUGAAUCAGUGUGUGUGUUAGUGGAAGCGUCUGGAAAGGCGCGCGAUACAGGGUGACAGCCCCGUACACAAAAAUGCACAUGCUGUGAGCUCGAUGAGUAGGGCGGGACACGUGGUAUCCUGUCUGAAUAUGGGGGGACCAUCCUCCAAGGCUAAAUACUCCUGACUGACCGAUAGUGAACCAGUACCGUGAGGGAAAGGCGAAAAGAACCCCGGCGAGGGGAGUGAAAAAGAACCUGAAACCGUGUACGUACAAGCAGUGGGAGCACGCUUAGGCGUGUGACUGCGUACCUUUUGUAUAAUGGGUCAGCGACUUAUAUUCUGUAGCAAGGUUAACCGAAUAGGGGAGCCGAAGGGAAACCGAGUCUUAACUGGGCGUUAAGUUGCAGGGUAUAGACCCGAAACCCGGUGAUCUAGCCAUGGGCAGGUUGAAGGUUGGGUAACACUAACUGGAGGACCGAACCGACUAAUGUUGAAAAAUUAGCGGAUGACUUGUGGCUGGGGGUGAAAGGCCAAUCAAACCGGGAGAUAGCUGGUUCUCCCCGAAAGCUAUUUAGGUAGCGCCUCGUGAAUUCAUCUCCGGGGGUAGAGCACUGUUUCGGCAAGGGGGUCAUCCCGACUUACCAACCCGAUGCAAACUGCGAAUACCGGAGAAUGUUAUCACGGGAGACACACGGCGGGUGCUAACGUCCGUCGUGAAGAGGGAAACAACCCAGACCGCCAGCUAAGGUCCCAAAGUCAUGGUUAAGUGGGAAACGAUGUGGGAAGGCCCAGACAGCCAGGAUGUUGGCUUAGAAGCAGCCAUCAUUUAAAGAAAGCGUAAUAGCUCACUGGUCGAGUCGGCCUGCGCGGAAGAUGUAACGGGGCUAAACCAUGCACCGAAGCUGCGGCAGCGACGCUUAUGCGUUGUUGGGUAGGGGAGCGUUCUGUAAGCCUGCGAAGGUGUGCUGUGAGGCAUGCUGGAGGUAUCAGAAGUGCGAAUGCUGACAUAAGUAACGAUAAAGCGGGUGAAAAGCCCGCUCGCCGGAAGACCAAGGGUUCCUGUCCAACGUUAAUCGGGGCAGGGUGAGUCGACCCCUAAGGCGAGGCCGAAAGGCGUAGUCGAUGGGAAACAGGUUAAUAUUCCUGUACUUGGUGUUACUGCGAAGGGGGGACGGAGAAGGCUAUGUUGGCCGGGCGACGGUUGUCCCGGUUUAAGCGUGUAGGCUGGUUUUCCAGGCAAAUCCGGAAAAUCAAGGCUGAGGCGUGAUGACGAGGCACUACGGUGCUGAAGCAACAAAUGCCCUGCUUCCAGGAAAAGCCUCUAAGCAUCAGGUAACAUCAAAUCGUACCCCAAACCGACACAGGUGGUCAGGUAGAGAAUACCAAGGCGCUUGAGAGAACUCGGGUGAAGGAACUAGGCAAAAUGGUGCCGUAACUUCGGGAGAAGGCACGCUGAUAUGUAGGUGAAGUCCCUCGCGGAUGGAGCUGAAAUCAGUCGAAGAUACCAGCUGGCUGCAACUGUUUAUUAAAAACACAGCACUGUGCAAACACGAAAGUGGACGUAUACGGUGUGACGCCUGCCCGGUGCCGGAAGGUUAAUUGAUGGGGUUAGCGCAAGCGAAGCUCUUGAUCGAAGCCCCGGUAAACGGCGGCCGUAACUAUAACGGUCCUAAGGUAGCGAAAUUCCUUGUCGGGUAAGUUCCGACCUGCACGAAUGGCGUAAUGAUGGCCAGGCUGUCUCCACCCGAGACUCAGUGAAAUUGAACUCGCUGUGAAGAUGCAGUGUACCCGCGGCAAGACGGAAAGACCCCGUGAACCUUUACUAUAGCUUGACACUGAACAUUGAGCCUUGAUGUGUAGGAUAGGUGGGAGGCUUUGAAGUGUGGACGCCAGUCUGCAUGGAGCCGACCUUGAAAUACCACCCUUUAAUGUUUGAUGUUCUAACGUUGACCCGUAAUCCGGGUUGCGGACAGUGUCUGGUGGGUAGUUUGACUGGGGCGGUCUCCUCCUAAAGAGUAACGGAGGAGCACGAAGGUUGGCUAAUCCUGGUCGGACAUCAGGAGGUUAGUGCAAUGGCAUAAGCCAGCUUGACUGCGAGCGUGACGGCGCGAGCAGGUGCGAAAGCAGGUCAUAGUGAUCCGGUGGUUCUGAAUGGAAGGGCCAUCGCUCAACGGAUAAAAGGUACUCCGGGGAUAACAGGCUGAUACCGCCCAAGAGUUCAUAUCGACGGCGGUGUUUGGCACCUCGAUGUCGGCUCAUCACAUCCUGGGGCUGAAGUAGGUCCCAAGGGUAUGGCUGUUCGCCAUUUAAAGUGGUACGCGAGCUGGGUUUAGAACGUCGUGAGACAGUUCGGUCCCUAUCUGCCGUGGGCGCUGGAGAACUGAGGGGGGCUGCUCCUAGUACGAGAGGACCGGAGUGGACGCAUCACUGGUGUUCGGGUUGUCAUGCCAAUGGCACUGCCCGGUAGCUAAAUGCGGAAGAGAUAAGUGCUGAAAGCAUCUAAGCACGAAACUUGCCCCGAGAUGAGUUCUCCCUGACUCCUUGAGAGUCCUGAAGGAACGUUGAAGACGACGACGUUGAUAGGCCGGGUGUGUAAGCGCAGCGAUGCGUUGAGCUAACCGGUACUAAUGAACCGUGAGGCUUAACCUUACAACGCCGAAGGUGUUU
rnacentral:rRNA from 1 species